CGCGUUGGGAGCUCUCCCUAUGGUCGACCUGCAGGCGGCCGCGAAUUCACUAGUGAUUGCGGCUGCUGGCACAGAGUUAGCCGGUGCUUAUUCUGCGGGUACCGUCAUAGCAACGAGUUAUUCGCUCGUUACCUUUCUUCCCCACCUAAAGUGCUUUACAACCCGAAGGCCUUCUUCACACACGCGGCAUCGCUGGAUCAGGGUUUCCCCCAUUGUCCAAGAUUCCCCACUGCUGCCUCCCGUAGGAGUCUGGGCCGUGUCUCAGUCCCAGUGUGGCUGGUCAUCCUCUCAGACCAGCUACGGAUCGUCGCCUUGGUAGGCUUUUACCCCACCAACUAGCUAAUCCGACGUAGGCUCACCCCAGAGCGCAAGGCCUUUCGGUCCCCUGCUUUUGAUCUCUCGAUAUCAUGUGGUAUUAGCCCGAGUUUCCUCGGGUUAUCCCACGCUCCAGGACAGAUUCCUACGUGUUACUCACCCGUCCGCCACUCGCCACCCCAUAAAGACCGAAAUCUUUACUGUGCUGCCGUUCGACUUGCAUGUGUUAGGCAUGCCGCCAGCGUUCAAUCUGAGCCAUGAUCAAACUCUAAUCGAAUUCCCGCGGCCGC
rnacentral:rRNA from 1 species